CUGGCUACGUGAGACUUGCAAUAGUGAUGUUGUAAUAACUGCAGAAGAAAAAGACAUUAGAGAGACAUCCAUUACACUGUUUGAUUUUUUUUUUUUCCUUUUUUCUCAGCUUUUAGACUUCAGUUGCUUUGGUUGAACAUUCAUAAUCAUGAUCAGGAUACUCAUUUUAACCAUAAUCACUUUCUGGUUAACUGUUUGUGUGGUUUCCAUUCCCAACAUUCAACAGUCCCCUGAACAUCUUCUACGGACAGUGGAGGAGAAAGAGGCAAAGCUUUUUUGUCGUCACGGUGACACCAACUAUCCAUACAUGUACUGGUAUCAGCAGAAGAGCUAUGGUGGUUCUUUAGAACUCAUUGGAAUACUCACAUAUGAGGCACCUUCUCCUGAAGAAAGAUUUGAAUCACGAUUUAACAUCACAGGACAUGCUACAAGUGAUGUGUCCCUGCUCAUAUCCAGCAUAUCUACCGAGGACAGCGCAGUGUAUUUCUGUGCAGCUAGUGAGCACAGCCAUACAGUUCCUUGUAACUGCUGACAAAAACACUACUCUCUAUGCACCUGUACAGAUUCAUAAAAAAAAAAAAAAGAAAAAGAAAAAAAAGGGUCUGGGGUCUUUUGUGUCAAUAAGGGAAAAAAGCAGCACAGCAGCCUCCCUCAUAGUCAUAUGAUGAUAUGCAUUUCAGCACCAAAGGUCUGAUCAAAACAAAAACAUUGACAUACUGAUUGUACAGGUUAAGAUGUCUAUCAGACAAAAUGGCAAGCAUUAACAGUGCAUAAAUUGAUUAAUUUACUUAUAACAUAAAAAAAGCACUUCCAUGGCACCUAUGGUGGAAAGUGUGACUCAAGACGUGUAACAUAUUUAUUCCACAGCGUUUUACAUUGUAGACAAACUCUACCAUAAUUACUACUACUUGCUUAAGCUAAGGAGCAAAUUUUUAUUAUUUUCUUUUCUUUUUUUUUUUUUUUUGGAAGUCACAUUCAAAAUCAACUUAUUGAGCAUGAAUCAGUGUGAAUGGGCAUGAUGCUUUUGGGUACCAGAGGAAAAAGUUCAAAGGUGUCCGCUGAAAAUUCUAAAUCUUUUACAUUUUGAUUGAUUCUCUGAAGUGGUCACAUGAGAGGAUCUUAAGGCUAAACUGAACAUUAAACAUUUCUUUUCUCAAGUGCUGCAUAUUACUGUGCUAAUUGUGGCCAUGAUACAAAAACUACCAUCCUGACUCUAGAAUAAGCCAUUAUUCAUAUAUCAGUUACAGCUACGAGCUGGGCUGGGCUUAUACAACCAUUGUCCAAUUACAGAAAAGAACACAUCACAGGCUUCCAUAACUUGCUUUUUACUGUUAGUUUAGUUGACUUAACAUUUUUCUCUAUCAGUGUCUUCCCUCAUAGCUAAACAGAAGAUCUGAUUUUGUGACCUCUCUUACAUUGAGUUAAUCAGAUUCA